CAAGAGCACCAAGCAUGGCCCACCUGGAGUGGAUCACUUCAAGUUCACGGUUCUUGGCGAAUGUCUCGGGGUCGGCGGAAAGUCCGGCGGUGUCCCAGCCGUAGUCGCCGGGGAACUCACCGGUCAAGUAGCUAGGUGCCUCACCGGAGAAUGGGCCCAAGUACUUGACACGGUCAGGGCCGUACCAUGGGCUGCUGGAUGCGGCGGGCUUGGGCUUGGCGGCGGUUUUCCUCAUUGAGAUCCUGCCGGAGCUGGUGAAUUCGGGGGUGGACUUGACUGCCUGUCCGGCGAAAGAUGGGGAAGAUAGAGCCAUUGAAGAGGCAGCCAUUGUUGUAAUUUCUCAAAUGAAAGACUAUAUGUAUUUGCAAGGUUGUUUGUUGAAUGGAUGAUAUUUUCCAUGGCAGACAUACUAAGGUAUUUAUAUGGAGUGGCCGUUAUCUCUUGAUAUCAUUAUCUGUAUUCCUAUUGGUAGGUGACAUUUGGCAAUCUUGACGUGGCAUGUCCAUUUUGGCAACGGCUAUCAGCCUAUCACUAUGGAGGUUUUAUCUAUUCUACACCCGGUGAAGGUUACACCGGGUGAUUUUUCACCGUUGAUCUACACACACCAAUGUGGGUGUGUGUGUGUUUGUGUGUAUAUUAAUGGUAAAGAUCUACCCGGUGUAUUUCACCCGGUGUAGGAUCUCAAAAGCCCACUAUGGAUAUAUGGGUAUUUCCCAUUGGCCUAUAAGGUUUUGCCAAGUGUGCGGUUGGAGAGUUCUGCAUGGAUAUUUCGCACGUGAGAAGCCAACGGCUACAGAAAUGUGUUUGUCUUUCUUAAGGCAGGGAUUAUAUAGAAGAAAUGUUGUGAAAAGGUGAUUAAAUAUAAGGUAUAAUUACUAUAGUGUAAAUAAUAAAGGCUGCAGAUAUUUGCAAGACGAAAAUUACUAAGUGCAAGACCUUACUUCAUGCAAGACCAAAAUAUAAAUAAAUUUACUAAGAUCAAGACUGAAAAUUACAAAUAUAACCCCAAUAAUAAUUUAGAUAUUAUUAAUUUAAAUUAAGCUAAUUGCUAUUGCAAGACCAAAAAAAAAAUACAAAAAAAAGAAUAAAAAGAGAGGGAACGCACUCCCCCAACAAAACACCAACAUCUUCUUCUUCACCCUCAUUUUACACAUUUUUUUCCACAAAAAAAUCUUCCAUAUUCUCCAAAACCCUUAUCACAUAAAACCCUCAAAUCUUACUAAGACUUUAAAAGAAGGACAUUAUGGAUACACAAGACAUAAAUAUGGAGGAUUCUAAGGUCGAAGAACACAAAGAGGUAAGAAAUAUUGUACUUUGUGAUCGUUUUUCUCGUUUUUCGCACCUCAUUUCACGUACAAAAAAUUCGACAUGUACAGGUCGAAAUAUCCGCUUAAUAUCGACAUAGUAGUGUCGCAAAUUUCAACAUAAUUCGACACUCCUUAACUGUCGAAUUAUAUUGAAAUUUUCGACAUUAUGGUGUCGAUAUUAAGCGCAUAUUUCGACGCUGGUGUGUCGAUUUUUUACUGUUACAAUUGUGUAACCAAAUUUCCGAUUUUUCUUGCAGAGUUUUGUACCUAGCGCGUGUAGUGGAGCUAAUGCAUGUAGGGAAUUAGCUUUGGAUUAUUCACAUGAAUUUACCACCCACGAGGAGUUUGCAACAAGGGACAAUUUAGUCACAUGGGUGCGCGAAGUUGGUAUGCGACUAGGAAUGAUAAUGUCAGUAAAGUCUUCAAAUUUGGGAAACCCAUCCAAAUUUGAGUACGAGCUUAAUUCAAGCAAAGAUAGUUGUUCCCCAAAGGUAAUUUUUUUGAAAUUUUUAGCUCAUAGUUCAUUUUUUGGUUUCUCAUUUAGUAAUACGUGAUAUUGGUUAAACAUUGUAGACUCCUAUUUCUGGUAUCCAAAAGCAACGUGAACAGCUUAUGCCGCAGCCGAUCACUGUAUCGAUGGUAACCGACAUCUUCAAUCGAAGCACCGGUAAAUCGACGGUGUUGGAAAAACUACCGGUAAUAUAUGCGUAAAAAUAUAUCAGUACAAUAUCGACACCAGCGUGUCGAAAAAAACAACAAUUUUCGACGCUCUAGCAUCGAAAUAUGUCACAUUUUUCGACAUCAACAUGUCAAUAUUUAUCAUAAUUUUCGACAUCAAUAUGUCGAUAUUUCGCUGUAAUUUUGUUUCUCAUUCUGUAUUACUAAUUUAACCUUCUUAUGUGCAGGUUCGAAAAAAAACUACCAAGUAUAUAUAUAUUAAACAAAUACAUCUGAAGUUCCGAAGAUAUGUUGGAGAUAUAAUAAAUGUUGCGUCAGAUGGUCAUUGUGGAUUUCGGGCGGUUGCAUCAAUGAUGGGCUUUGGGGAAGAUAAUUGGAGUCUAGUACGAAGAGAUUUGGUCGAUGAGCUCAUUAUGAAUGAUGCUAUCUACAUGAAUAUCCACAAAGUUCGAGAUACGCUUGAUGAAUUGGAAGCAAAAAUGAGGUGUUCGGUUACACCUGCCCCUUAUGAAAAUUGGAUGUCGUUUCCGGAUAUGGGUCAUUUUAUUGCUUCUAAAUAUGACAUUGUGCUCGUACUGAUAACGCAGCUGCAGUGUCUUACAUUUCUCCCACUCUCUAGUGACCCCAUCGUGUAACUAACGGUCCCUCAAUCUCGCCGGACCUAACCGUCGGUGUGAGACGGGGGAAAUGCUCGUAAAUCCAACCCUGAAGAAACGUCAAAUAUCCACUGAUUUGCUUCGUAUUAGCCCUUGAAGCAUCCGACAACGCCUCAUAGAGCAGACACAAACAAGCUGUACCCCAUGCGUAAGUCCCAAUAUUUUCCAAAUCUUCUAACAAACACAACAACUGCAGUGUACCCAUAUUCCCCGUCUUGUCCUGGAAUAUCGUACAUGACAAUACGUACAACAAAAAUGCCCUUGUCGCACACGUCUUUUUAUUCUCAUCAUCAAUAUCUGUCACAGAACUGAAAGUACUACGCAACCACUCCAACUUAAGCGCCUUCUGAUUUUGACCCCAACAUUUAUCCGUCGAUUCAAGCACUACUCCGAGAAUUCGAUUUACGAUUGCUUGUGACGAUGGCCCCGUCUUACUAAUUUGUUGAAUAAAUACCGGCCGUCCCACCACUGGCAAACCUAUCAAGCUGCUGACAUCGUCUAGCGUGAUAGUCAUCUCCCCAAAUGGUAAAUGAAACGUACAAGUUGCUGGUUGCCACCGCUCUAUGAAAGUCAACACCAAUGCACUAUCUAUCACCUUGUACGAAUGACGUACAAGGGGCAUCAAACCGGACCUCUCGACAACCUCGGUCAUAAAAGGAGCCAUCCGCCACUUCUCCAACAUUGUUGUGUGAUUAUGAACCCUCACACUUUCGCGCUCCUACAAUUUUAAUAAAAAUAAACAUUCAAUCAAUAAAGUAAAUAACUUCAAUAACAUAUGUAUAUGUGUGUCUAUAAGUGUAAAAGUACCUUUCCGGACAAAAUCUGUCGGGCGAUAUGAUUCUCAAACUGCGGCAUCAAGUCUGGUAUUUGUGGUCCUCUGGGGCCAGCCGAUUGGCUACUAGAUCCACCAACUUCGGUGGUCGAUGUGAGCGGUGGAUCCUCAAGUAUGGACAAUGAAGGCUCAACAUCGGUAGGUAAAUGUGUACGAUUGGCCGGAGGAUCGACCCGAGUAGCUUGAGAAUCGCCACGUCGAACUUUACGAUUGACCAAUGCUUUUCUCUUGCGCUGAGAAGCAGUUUGGGGAAUACGCGGUUCCACUGGAAAAAUAUAAAUAUAAUAUUAAUCAUUUAUAUAAAAAAAAAAAAAAAGUUUGCAAAAAAAUCAGUUUACCAGUCAAUUUUCGACAUCAUAGUGUCGAUAUUUGUACACAAAAUCGACAUAACUCUGUGUCGAAAAUUGUAUACAAAUUCGACACAGCAAUGUGGAAUAUUGCUCCAAAACUCGACACCGGGUUUAUGUCGAAAUUUUGUACACAUAUCGACAUUGAGAUGUCGAAAAAAGGUCCAAUAAUCGACAAUUGUUUGCUGUCGAAAUUUGAUUAAAAAAUCGACACCAGUGUGUCGAAAAUUUGCCAAAAAAUCGACAAGUACAGGUCGUUUUUUGUAAAACCGCAACUCCUUCAACAAUAGUGCUACAAUCGAACCCUAGAAUCAUCAACUAUGUUCUAAAAUGACUUGAAUUCAUUAUUCUAACAAUAAAAUUAUGUUUAUCACAUUUAUUUCUCAAAAAAAAGUUAAUUCAAAAAGUAAUUUUUACUUGCUUUUCGUGAGAUUGUUGUGGCGGGGUUGGGGCAACAACGGACUUCAACGGCGACGGGGAGGUGGUGGACUUCAACGGCGACGGCGACGGGGCGACGACGACGGGGCGACGAUUGAGUGCUGCAAUUGAUUUUUUUGUUUUCUUCUUUCCUUCUUCCCUCCUCGUUUUUCAAUUCUCAAUUCAAUUUCUUUUUUCUUUCUUUUUUUUUUUAUUUUUUCUUUUUUAAAUUGGUCUUGCAAAAGGAAAUUAAUAAAAUAAUUUUUAGGCUGCGGCUAUAUGCAAUACUCAUUCAACUUGUGCAAGACCAAAUUAAAGAAAGAUUCCAAAAGAUUCUAUUUUAUUAAGAUGGAAUGACAAGUAUGCCCAUAAAUUAAAUUGGCUUUUUUUUCUCAUGUAAGACCAAAUACAAAUAAUGAGAAAAAAACAAAAAUCGACACCAAGGUGUCGAAAAACUAUGCUACAAAUCGACACUUAAGCGUCGAAUUUCAUAGGUAAAAAUCGACAUUGACAUGUCGAAUUUAUAGCACAAAUUCAAAUGUCGAAUUUUAUACCUCAAAAUCGACAUCUAAAUGUCGAAUUUUAUACCUCAAAAUCGACAUCUAAAUGUCGAUUUUUAGCUGUAAAAUUCGACCUGUACAUGUCGAAUUCGUUUGUGCGGGAUUUUUUUUGGAAAAUCGAUAUUCUAGCUAAAAAAACCCAUAAAUGCAUACAUUCUUGGGUUCUUCCAUCGUAAAAUCUUCUAUUUUGAUGUCUCCUGACUCCAUACUUGCCAUCUUUGUAAGAUUUGUUGAGUUUUGAUGAUUUUGAAUUUCAAGGUUUUGCGGGUUAAUGGAGGAGGAAGGAGAAAGGUCUUGUGGGUUUUGGAAGAUGGAGAAGAUGAUAGUUGAUCUUGUGGUUUUGUGGUCUUGUGAUAGGGUUUUUUGUGUUUUUGAAUUUUUGGUCUUGCAUAUUUGGAAUUUUUUAUUUUUUUAAUAAAUAAGGGUAUUAUAGUAUUUAUACAUUGAAAAUUUUAAUUUGGUCUUGCACAAGUGGAAUUAGUCUUGUAUAUAGCCGCAGCCAAAUUUUUAUUUUGGUUGUAUUUUAUUAAGGUUAUUAUAGUCUUUUUAUACUGAAUUUAAUAAAAAAAAUUAAUUUGGUCUUGCCCUAAGUAAUUUUCGUCUUGCAAAUAGUCGCUGCCAAUAAUAAAUUAAAUUUAGGGUAAAUUUUGAAUAUUUUGAAGUGCUAAUUUUCACUAGAAGACUCACAAGUCUGCUUUCCUAUAAACACAACUUGUUUCUUUUUGCCACCAGAAGGUAUGAAAGGAAUACACUACACAGUUACAUACUUCCGGUACAUGUAACACAUCUAACUUGAGUGUCGGACUCUUUAAGUUUAGGACGCAUAAUUACCAAAACCUACUAGAUCCUAUGUUCUUCUUGCAAUAAAAUUUCGAAAAAAAAAAAGAAAAUAAUUCUGAUUUCUGAUUUUCCGAUUUUUUCUUUUUGGACCAAGAUUGGUGUAUAUAUGUUACUUUCCGAAACUAAUACCAAUUGUUUGUUUUUCCCAAAAAUUAGACUUACAAUAUUAAUAUUAUUAUGUAUUUUAUAAUUUAUAUUAUAGGUGCAUAGAAAAUGGAAUCUCUAAUUUCCGCCAAUUUCAGUACAAAGUUUUUAUUUCAAUUUAUGAAAUUUCGAUUUGAGAUUUUCCAUUUUUUUUUUAGAACAUAGAAGAAUUAAUGCAACUCCUUGAAUUCAAUUGGCUAAACUGUUAAACAUCAAGUAAGAUAUUUUUGGUAGAGCAUUAAAAUAUAAAAUAUAUGAAAAUCUCAACCACGGAAAUGUAGACUCAACCUCAGCCUCAAGAUCAUAUACUUACAAAACUUUGUUCAUUUGGAAAUAAAAAAUGUAGAGAAUUAAGUGGACUACAGAUUGGCAACUGGAUAGUGGGUACUAAGUAAUCUUGAAAGCCAAUGAAAUAAAGAGAUAUAGAUAUCAGUAGAUAAGACGACUGAUUGCAGUUCCUCUUCCCGCCUAUUUAUAACUACCAACUACCAAUCUCUACUUUCAUCGCCACCACCUCUUCCUCUUUGAUCAACUAACUGAUAAUAAACCCCAAAAAGAAAAGGAAAAACACUUCCCUUCCUUCAAUGGCUGCUUCUUCAAUGGCUCUAUCUUCUCCGUCUUUCGCCGGACAGGCUGUCAAGCUCUCUCCCGAAGUCACCGGCACCGGCACCGGCAGGAUCUCCAUGAGGAAGACCUCCGCCAAGCCCAAGCCCGCUUCUUCCGGCAGCCCAUGGUACGGCCCUGACCGUGUCAAGUACUUGGGCCCAUUCUCCGGCGAGGCACCUAGCUACCUCACCGGCGAGUUCCCCGGUGACUACGGCUGGGACACCGCCGGACUUUCCGCUGACCCCGAGACAUUCGCCAAGAACCGUGAACUUGAAGUGAUCCACUCAAGGUGGGCCAUGCUUGGUGCUCUUGGAUGCGUCUUCCCCGAGCUAUUGGCCCGCAACGGUGUUAAAUUCGGUGAGGCGGUUUGGUUCAAGGCCGGAUCACAAAUCUUCAGUGAGGGUGGACUCGACUACUUGGGCAACCCAAGCUUGGUCCAUGCUCAGAGCAUAUUGGCCAUAUGGGGUGUCCAGGUUGUAUUGAUGGGAGCUAUUGAGGGCUACAGAAUUGCCGGUGGGCCCCUCGGAGAAGUUGUCGACCCACUUUACCCGGGUGGUAGCUUCGACCCGUUGGGUCUUGCUGAGGAUCCGGAAGCUUUUGCCGAGCUAAAGGUUAAGGAGCUGAAGAACGGGAGACUCGCAAUGUUUUCCAUGUUUGGAUUCUUUGUUCAGGCUAUUGUCACCGGAAAGGGACCGUUGGAGAACCUUGCUGACCACCUUGCCGACCCAGUUAACAACAACGCAUGGGCCUUCGCCACAAACUUCGUACCCGGAAAGUGAGCUUAGGAGCACAAAUUGUUGUUAGUAACGUUGUAUUGGUGUAAAUGAGUGAUUAGUUUUCAGCAUUAAGAAUACGCAUUGUGCCAUUUUUUUUCCUUUGGUUUGAUUAUAUUGAUCGAGUAUGAUAAAUUGUAUAAUCUCAAUGUAUCGAACGUUUGCUUCAUUUAGCGGUCUAUAUAUGGACAAAAAGCAUUUAAUUCCUUUCAGGUGAGAUUGCACAAUCAAUUGCUUACUCAAAAAGAUGUCAAUGGCAAAGAAACACCGAGGAGUACAAUUGGACCAUCUUCGUGUCGCUGUUGAAACCCUCACGCCUCCGUCUGUUUCGAUGGCUUAUCCCGUUUAUUCUCUGCAAAUAUUUUCUGAUGGCGCGAGAUAUUUGCAACUCUCCCCCCAUACUAUUCUGCAAAGCUGAGAAUCUGCAAAUUACUUGAGAAAAUUCAGAGCUUACCUUGAGUAUGCGACGCACACGUGUGUAGAGUUGGUUUCAGUCACAAGCCAUCAUAGAUAAUUUGGAUGAUCUUUGGUAAAUCCCCAAUCUCUGGGAAGUUCACUAUUCAUGUAAAUUCAACUGUAAUGAAUUAUUGGAGGAAGAACAUGAACAAGAGAAAUCGAGCUUUUGGUGGGUAAUCCUUCCAUGGUCACUUUUUUAUUCAACAAAAGCAAAUACGUACGAGUUUAAAAAAAUCCAGCCCAAAUCUAUCCUAUCACCACUAACCUACCAAUCCAUAUCACCUGCCAUUGUUCAUGGAUAAUGGAUUUAAGUUAUGUGCGUAUAUACAUGUAUACAUCGAGAACUGAAUAAUCACUGAUGCUUGUUGUCUAAGCUCGAAAAUCUUUUGUUUUUCAAUUGCAGAUAAAUCAUUUAGAUUGAAUUGAAUUGAAAUCCAUCACUAGAUAUUCAAUUGUUAGUUGUUACCAGGCCUUUAACAUUAUGAAUCGACUAACGAAAUCGGAGAAUCAAAGAAUUGACAUUUCAACCGUUGUAUUCCGACUAAGAAUUCCUGAAUAAAGUGGGAAUCACACAUGCAUUAAUUCACACACAUAAUUAGUUGAUAAUAAGUAACCAGAAUAUAUUGUUUCAGCUAAUGUUCGACAAUUGUUUAUGGCACAAUUUAUGAGGGGUAUGGCCGAGGGAGGUCCGAUUCUGUAAGUUCAGUCCCUUUAAAAAUGAAGAAAAACUAACCAUCAGUUGCAAUAUUUGGUGAUUCCUAUGUCGGAAUCUGAUCAACUGAUCUACAAAUAUAAUGGAUAGUCUGUUUAUGGCCAGACAUCAACUGUACUCCGAUUGUAUGCAUGUCUUGUUCAAAUGCACUGUGUAAAAAUCCCGAAUUAGUCCAUUGGAGAUGUUAUAUUUCAAUUAUAUUGUUGUUCUUUGUUAAGGAUUUCUAUCCAUUUAUGCCUAAAUCUUAUCUUCAAUAUUGAAUCUUUUUUCAUUUAUAUCUCGGUGUGUAGAUAGUUUGACAGCUUCGUAGUUGAUAGCUCUUCUAGUUUUUGCAGCUUAGUUGGUACGUGAUACUCAUCGGAUUUGUUACUAUGACUCGAGCACCGGAAAAGCAGAUUCACAUUCGUUGAAUCCCAUAUAAAUAGCAUUAUAUAAAAUAUAUCAAUAAUUUACAUCAGCCUUAAUUCAUUACACUCUUCUAUGUGAACUUCACUUUCCAGGUACGAAGUUUGUGGCAAAUGCCCAGGCAUUGUUGUUAACUGGGUCGGCAAGAUGGUCAGCGAGGUUCUCCAAUGGUCCCUUUCCGGUAACAAUAGCUUGAACAAAGAAUCCGAACAUGGAGAACAUUGCAAGUCUCCCAUUCUUCAGCUCCUUUACCUUUAGCUCAGCGAAAGCUUCCGGAUCCUCGGCAAGGCCCAAUGGGUCGAAGCUACCACCGGGGUAAAGUGGGUCAACAACCUCUCCGAGGGGCCCACCGGCAAUUCUGUAGCCCUCAAUAGCUCCCAUCAAUACAACCUGGACACCCCAUAUGGCCAAUAUGCUCUGAGCAUGGACCAAGCUUGGGUUGCCCAAGUAGUCGAGUCCACCCUCGCUGAAGAUCUGAGAUCCGGCCUUGAACCAAACCGCCUCACCGAAUUUAACACCGUUGCGUGCCAAAAGCUCGGGGAAGACACAUCCAAGAGCACCAAGCAUGGCCCACCUGGAGUGGAUCACUUCAAGUUCACGGUUCUUGGCGAAUGUCUCGGGGUCGGCGGAAAGUCCGGCGGUGUCCCAGCCGUAGUCACCGGGGAACUCACCGGUGAGGUAGCUAGGUGCCUCACCGGAGAAAGGACCCAAAUACUUGACACGGUCAGGGCCGUACCAUGGACUGCCGGAUGCGGCGGGCUUGGGCUUGGCGGCGGUCUUCCUCAUUGAGAACCUGCCGGUGGUGGUGAAUUCGGGGGUGGACUUGACUGCCUGCCCGGCGAAAGUGGGGGAAGACAAGGCCAUUGAAGAGGCAGCCAUUUAUGGAAAUGGAAGGGAAGUGUUUGCUUUCUUGAGUGUGUAUGAGUAGAAAGAGGGAAGUAAGUAGUGUUGGUGAUGAUGACAAGGGAAGAUGGCAGUUAUUUUAUAGCUAGACGGGAGGAGGAGGUUGCUUCGACCAGACACCCGGUGAAAAACACCGGGUGUAGGGUCGAACAAAUCGGAGGAGGAAUGGUGGUUGAUCUUAUCCUGUGAUAUCUAGCCUAUCUCUUCUUUCAUUGGGUUUUCAAGAUCCCAUUGUAUCUAAGAUUUUUUUUUGGAGUUCUGCCAAUAAUAUCUCAAUUGAACACUCUGUAACUGGGACAUUCGGACUUGUACAUUAUUACAGAUAAUGAGCAAAGACAAAAGAAAAGUUUACAUUACUCUUAAUAAAUUAGUACAAGUACAUUUAAACUACAAAAUUAUCCUUUUAUUUGAAAAAUUAAAUAUAUACCCCUAAAAACUAAUUAUGUGUAACAAACUUUAAUAGAGAUUAUGAAAUAUUUUUUUUGCCACUGAAAAAGAAAAUUGUUAGAAUAUCCCAACAUUGAAAUGGAUGUUUUGCCCUUGUAUUAUUUAUUUUUUUUUAAAUGAAUUUUUUCAUAAAAAAAUAUUUUAUAAUUUAGAAGGUUACUUUCUCUUUUUUUUUUUUUUUUUUUUUUGAGAAUAAAGGUUACUUUCUCUUACUCAUACGUGUAUGCAGUGGCGAAUCCAGGAUUUUUGCCAAGGGUGUUCGAAAUUAAAUAUAGUAAAAAAUAUAAUGGUUGGCUAACAGUUUACGGGGGUUCGGGGGCAGCGUCCCCGAUUUUUUUUUUUUUUGAAUACUGUACACAUUAAAUAAUAAAAAAAAAAAAAUUUAAAGGGAUUAGUUUACCAUUUUUGGGCAAAUUUAGAAAAUAUUUAAACAUAAAAUUGGUGAAAAUAUUAAAGGAGUGGUAAACAUAUUAAAGUUGCAAGUGACAAAAUGUACGUUUCAUUAUCAUAUUUUGAAUGUUCAAAAAGAAAAAAAAAACUCACAUAGUUGUAAAUAUAGAAAAAAAAUUGAAAUAAUACAUAUAUAUACAAUAUUUAGAAUUUUGGAAUAAUUUAUAUUAUAUUUAAUAUUAAAGAAAUGGUAAAUAAAUUAAAGUUACAAAUAGCAAAAUAUAUGUUAUAUUAGGAGAUUUUUUUUAAAUAUUAAAAAAUACCUACAUAUUCAACAUUUUUUAAAACAAUUGAAAUAUUGAAUUUUGGAAUAAUUUAUAUUAUAUUUAAUAUUAAAGAAAUGGUAAAUAAAUUAAAGUUACAAAUAGCAAAAUAUAUGUUAUAUUAGGAGAUUUUUUUUUAAAUAUUAAAAAAUACCCACAAAUUCAACAUUUUUUAAAACAAUUGAAAUAUUCUAUGUAAUGGAAAAUUAGGAAUAAAAAAGAAAAAAUAAUAGAGAGGUUCAGACUCUUGUAAAGGUCUCGAACCCUGUACCUCUGCAUGAUUCUAUAGAGCACUUAACCAGUUAAGCUACAGCAAUGCAUUGGCCAGGUUUUACAUUUGCAGUUAUAUAGUACUAAAUAUAUACGAAAUAUAUUUUUUUUAAAAUCAAGGGUGUGCAGUAGCACACCCUUGGACCACACUAGAUACGCCACUGCGUGUAUGUCACUCGUACAAGAUGAAAUUCAGUAAAUAUUCUGGUCAGCAAAUUUUUCUAUUUUUUAUAAUUUCACCAGUCUGGUUGUUAAUUUUCAUCUUUUGGUGGAAGCAUUAGUUGUUUACUACUCUCUUUGAACAUUAUUUACAGUACAGUAAGAAAAGCUCUAGAACAUAAACUAACUAAAAAUAGUACUCUGCGAUUGGAUUCCUGAAGUCCAGUACACUUGAUGUUGUGGCAAUGCUUCAAUAUCAGGAUUUCCAGAUAUCCACACCAGAGCUCCGAUCCUCAUCCAUGCAUCUCGAUUUUCAUAAAUCAAUCUCCAGCCGCACACUUGGCAGAACCUCAUUGGCCAAAAGAUCCCAAGAGGAUUAGUGGUGAUAGCCGUUGCCAACUGUACAUAUAUGCCACGUCAAGAUUACCGAAUAUCGCCUGCCUAGCAAUAGCAACCUAGAUAAGGAUAUUCAUAGAUAAGCCCGAUUCAUAUAAAUACAUUCCCUCGUCUGCCUUAGAAAUAAACCCAUCAACAAACACAAACAGCCUCCUUUGCAAAUAAAUACACAUUCUUUCAUUUCAUAAUAUACAUCAAUGGCUGCCUCUUCAAUGGCCUUGUCUUCCCCCACUUUCGCCGGACAGGCAGUCAAAUCCACCCCUGAAUUCACCACCACCGGCAGGUUCUCAAUGAGGAAGACCGCCGCCAAGCCCAAACCUGCAUCGUCGGGCAGCCCAUGGUACGGCCCCGACCGUGUCAAAUAUUUGGGCCCAUUCUCCGGUGAGGCCCCCAGCUACUUGACCGGCGAAUUCCCCGGUGACUACGGUUGGGACACCGCUGGGCUUUCGGCUGACCCUGAAACGUUCUCCAAGAACCGUGAGCUUGAAGUGAUCCACUCCAGGUGGGCCAUGCUAGGUGCUCUUGGAUGUGUCUUCCCCGAGCUAUUGGCUCGCAACGGUGUUAAAUUCGGUGAGGCGGUUUGGUUCAAGGCCGGAUCACAAAUCUUCAGCGAAGGUGGGCUCGAUUAUUUGGGCAACCCAAGCUUGGUCCAUGCUCAGAGCAUCUUGGCCAUUUGGGGAGUCCAGGUUGUAUUAAUGGGAGCUAUCGAAGGCUAUAGAAUUGCCGGUGGGCCCCUCGGUGAAGUUGUCGACCCACUUUACCCCGGUGGUAGCUUCGACCCAUUGGGUCUUGCUGAGGAUCCGGAAGCUUUUGCGGAGCUCAAGGUUAAGGAGCUAAAGAAUGGAAGACUUGCAAUGUUCUCGAUGUUCGGAUUCUUUGUUCAAGCUAUCGUCACCGGAAAAGGACCAUUGGAGAACCUUGCUGACCACCUAGCUGACCCGGUUAACAACAAUGCAUGGGCCUUUGCCACUAACUUCGUACCCGGAAAGUGAAAUUGACAUAGGUAAUGAUGAAUUCGGAUUGAUUAAUUAAGGAUGAUGUAUGUAAAGUAGUGUGAAUUAUUGGAAUAAUUAAUAUAAUGUGGUUUUAUGUGCUUCAACGAUUUCUAUUGUUGCUUUUGCAUUCAUAUAAACAAACCUAAAUUGAGUUAGAUUACAUUAUAUUCACAAGGAAAUUAUGUUCAUAUUAUUUGAAGAACUUUUGUCCGUGCGGAUAAUCUCAAUCUGCUCAAUAAAUUAUCUGUUCAUCUGCUUACUUGGGAAAGUACUCAACGCCGACGUUUUGGCUGUGGCUAAUGGGCUAAUUACAUCAUCUAAUCAUACUCGCGCGGAUUUGAAGAUCCAGAAGUUAUGGGCCCAACGGAAGUGUUCAGAAAUCUCUCUCUCUCUCUCGCUUAUUUCUCUGUCUUCUUCGGUUCUUCACUCUUUCCUAUUUCAUAUCUUCAUUUCUGCAAAUUAUAUAUAAAAAACCUUCCAAUUCUGCAUGUUGUUCUUUAAACAGUUUCUCUUGAGAUCAGAUUUGAUGAGAUUCGGUGUGCAUAUCACCUGUUUGAUGAAAUUUAUGUGCGAACGAAAUUUGACAUCUUGCAAACUUUUUAGUAACAGAGGUAUUAGAAAAACUAAGAUCAACCAAUAAAAAUAUUAAGCAACUGUAACUCCGAAAAUCAUCAAGUUCUUGAAAGCCAAAAUCUGAAGUUGGGCGUUUUAUAUAUGGGCUGGAUUAGUUCUUGAAAGCCCAAAUAUGUUAAAAAAUUAAUAACAUCGAUUAUUUCUUCCAUUAGAUCAAACCCAUAUACACGAGGCAUUGCAUUAAUGCUUAAUACUAAUCACUCAUUUACACUAGAGAAUUAACAACAAUAGUGGGCUCACAUUAUCCCAACUGAAAACACAUUCACUUUCCCGGUACGAAGUUGGUGGCAAAGGCCCAUGCGUUGUUGUUAACCGGGUCAGCAAGGUGGUCGGCAAGGUUCUCCAACGGUCCCUUUCCGGUAACAAUAGCCUGAACAAAGAAUCCGAACAUGGAAAACAUUGCUAGUCUCCCGUUCUUUAGCUCCUUAACCUUUAGCUCGGCAAAAGCUUCUGGAUCCUCAGCAAGACCCAACGGGUCGAAGCUACCACCCGGGUAAAGUGGGCCGACAACUUCACCGAGGGGCCCACCGGCAAUUCUGUAGCCCUCAAUAGCUCCCAUCAAUACAACCUGGACACCCCAUAUGGCCAAUAUGCUCUGAGCAUGGACCAAGCUUGGGUUGCCCAAGUAGUCGAGCCCACCCUCGCUGAAGAUUUGUGAUCCGGCCUUGAACCAAACCGCCUCACCGAAUUUAACACCGUUGCGUGCCAAAAGCUCGGGGAAGACGCAGCCUAGAGCACCAAGCAUGGCCCACCUUGAGUGGAUCACCUCUAGUUCACGGUUCUUGGCGAAUGUUUCGGGGUCAGCCGAAAGUCCAGCGGUAUCCCAGCCGUAGUCACCGGGGAAUUCGCCGGUCAAGUAGCUAGGUGCCUCACCGGAGAAUGGGCCCAAGUACUUGACACGGUCCGGGCCGUACCAUGGGCUGCUGGAUGCGGCGGGCUUGGGCUUGGCGGAGGUCUUCCUCAUGGAGAUCCUGCCGGUGCCGGUGACUUCGGGAGAGAGCUUGACAGCCUGUCCGGCGAAAGACGGAGAAGAUAGAGCCAUUGAAGAAGCAGCCAUUGAA
rnacentral:lncRNA from 1 species